rnacentral:tRNA from 1 species
UAGAUGGAUGCUCGCUGGUUAGGGCGCUUAGCUGUUAUCUAAGAUUUUGUAGGCUCGAGGCCUUCCCAUCUAGA